AUGAGCAGCUGUGCCUUAAACCACGGGGACUCCGCACUCAGCUGCUCAGAGAAGGGCGGGUCUGUGCGCAGUAAGAACAGGGGCAGUUCCCACCAGAGAAGCGCGUCCGUCCUGCUCCGCCCGGGCCUGCUGUGGGCGCUCAUGGCCGCCUUUGGCUUCAGAUCCAGCAUGGCUGACACAGUAACUCAAGCUCAGACUGCAGUAACAGCGCGGGAAGGAGAAGCUGCGACCAUAGACUGCACAUAUCAAAUCUCUCGGUCUAGGUAUACUUUGUACUGGUACAGACAGUUUACCGGUGGAAGAAUGGAAUUCCUUAUUUAUCAGGAUGAUAAUAAAGCAAAUGCAAGGAGGGAUCGCUACUCUGUAAACUUUCAACGGACAAGAAGAUUCAUCAGCCUUACCAUCUCUUCCUUGCACCUGGCUGACUCCGCGAAGUAUUUCUGUGCUCUCUGGGAAUACCACAGUGGUAAAAAUGAUAGUAGCGGAUAA